GUGAGACAGUUCGGUCCCUAUCUGGUGUGGGCGUUGGAUGAUUGAGGGGAGCUGCUCCUAGUACGAGAGGACCGGAGUGGACGAACCGCUGGUGUUCGGGUUGUUUUGCCAAAGGCAUUGCCCGGUAGCUACGUUCGGAAUCGAUAAGCGCUGAAAGCAUCUAAGCGCGAAGCGAGCCCCAAGAUGAGUCAUCCCUGACAGUUUAACUGUCCUAAAGGGUUGUUGAAGACUACGACGUAGAUAGGCAGGGUGUGGAAGCGUUGUAAGGCGUUAAGCUAACCUGUACUAAUUGCCCGUGAGGCUUAAC
rnacentral:rRNA from 1 species